rnacentral:rRNA from 1 species
GAUGAACGCUGGCGGCGUGCCUAAUACAUGCAAGUCGAGCGAACGGACGAGAAGCUUGCUUCUCUGAUGUUAGCGGCGGACGGGUGAGUAACACGUGGAUAACCUACCUAUAAGACUGGGAUAACUUCGGGAAACCGGAGCUAAUACCGGAUAAUAUUUUGAACCGCAUGGUUCAAAAGUGAAAGACGGUCUUGCUGUCACUUAUAGAUGGAUCCGCGCUGCAUUAGCUAGUUGGUAAGGCAACGGCUUACCAAGGCAACGAUGCAUAGCCGACCUGAGAGGGUGAUCGGCCACACUGGAACUGAGACACGGUCCAGACUCCUACGGGAGGCAGCAGUAGGGAAUCUUCCGCAAUGGGCGAAAGCCUGACGGAGCAACGCCGCGUGAGUGAUGAAGGUCUUCGGAUCGUAAAACUCUGUUAUUAGGGAAGAACAUAUGUGUAAGUAACUGUGCACAUCCUGACGGUACCUAAUCAGAAAGCCACGGCUAACUACGUG